rnacentral:siRNA from 1 species
UGCGUUGAUGUUUGUGCUGC